rnacentral:rRNA from 1 species
GAUGAACGCUGGCGGCGUGCCUAAUACAUGCAAGUCGAGCGAACAGACGAGGAGCUUGCUCCUCUGACGUUAGCGGCGGACGGGUGAGUAACACGUGGAUCACCUACCUAUAAGACUGGGAUAACUUCGGGAAACCGGAGCUAAUACCGGAUAAUAUAUUGAACCGCAUGGUUCAAUAGUGAAAGACGGCUUUGCUGUCACUUAUAGCUGGAUCCGCGGCGCAUUAGCUAGUUGGUAAGGUAACGGCUUACCAAGGCGACGAUGCGUAGCCGACCUGAGAGGGUGAUCAGCCACACUGGAACUGAGACACGGUCCAGACUCCUACGGGAGGCAGCAGUAGGGAAUCUUCGGCAAUGGGCGAAAGCCUGACGGAGCAACGCCGCGUGAGUGAUGAAGGUCUUCGGAUCGUAAAACUCUGUUAUUAGGGAAGAACAAAUGUGUAAGUAACUAUGCACGUCUUGACGGUACCUAAUCAGAAAGCAACGGCUAACUACGUG